GACAGAGGGUGCAAACGUUGUUCGGAUUUACUGGGCGUAAAGCGUGUGUAGGCGGCUUUGCAAGUCGGAUGUGAAAUCCCACGGCUCAACCGUGGAAGUGCAUCCGAAACGGCAUCGCUUGAGUCUCGGAGAGGAAGGUGGAAUGCUUGGUGUAGAGGUGAAAUUCGUAGAUAUUCGCAAGAACACCAGUGGCGAAGGCGGCUCACUGGCCCGAUACUGACGCUGAGGUGCGAAAGCGUGGGGAGCAAACAGG
rnacentral:rRNA from 1 species